GGUGCGAGACAGCGCAGCGAGUGUGACAGUGCGGGCCGUGGUGCCACCUUCCUCCUCAGCAGCAGCCCGUGGGCUGGUUCUUCUCGUCCUUUCUGUUUUCUCCCCUUCUGCAUUAGCCAUGAAAGACUGCUGUAGGCGGCUGUGCCUGGCGAAGGUGUGGCAGACGAAGAUUGGAGCCCUGGGACUGCAGACGGGCUGUUGUGUUUUGGUAACGGGGAGCAGCGCUGCAGAACCUAGGCCUGCAUCCUCUGCCCUGGAAAGCUGUCAAAGGGAUGCUCCCAGAGAAACAUGAAAAAUGACAUGAAAGUAGCAUUUCGCAUAACAAAUCCAUUACAUACCUAGCUCCUGCUGAUGGAGUGAAGUACUCCAGUAUGGAAAGGGUACACGAGUGGGUGUUGCAGUAAGGGGAGUGAAAUUCAAAAUGUUUUCAGUUUUAUGCUCUUUGGACCUAGGAAGUCCAAGAGAAGCACUUGGAGUCGCACAUCUGGACAGCCCAUGUUAGCCAUAAGGAUAUUGUCAUUAUAGGUAUAAUUAUAGUUUUAAUUGCACAAAAGGUCUGUGCACUUAGAAAGUUCAGUGUGCAAGCUGGAUAAAUUCAUGUAUUUUAUGGAGUAUGCAGGGCCACAUGCAGAGAAACUCCAUUGGAAACUCCAUCUAAGUUUUCAAGAGCUUAAGUUACCUGAUUUUAAUAGUGCAGAUAGUGGAGAAAUGGGAAUAUGCUCUCUUUUUUGAUCCUCUGUUAUAGCCUGAUACUUCUUUUUCUAAAUCUCUUUGCUCUGGCAAAGGCCUUGUACUAAAGUCAUUCACUUUCUCAGCACAAUGUGUCAGUAUUAGGCUCAUACAAAAAGCAUUUCCCACCAUGAAGUUACAACUUUUGAACUCAGCCCUGUCUGCUUGUAGGGUACAUUACAUGUGCAGUAACAGUUUCUAGAGGGCAAAGAGACACAUUUUCACAGUGAUAUUUUCCUCCAUGCAGAGGCCAUCCAGCUACAUGUUGUACAUGUUGCCUUUUAAUGAAAUCCAAAAAUGCUUGAUCUUAAAACAAUUGAAAGACUAUUGAAAAUGUAAAUACAGUAAGACAGAUUGUGCUUUAUUCCCUUGCCAUUUCUGUGUUUAACAUAUUUAUUUCUUAAGAACUGUGAUUAUGGCCUAGCAAAAGCAAAAUGGAUGUGUUUUGUUUGUAGUUGCAGCCUGUGUUCUCAUAAAUUAGGAAUUUCAUCCCUGCAGUCUGCCAGCCUCUGAAAGUAAACAGGGUGCAUGCAGAUACACAGAAUUCCUCACAGGCUGAACCAUUUGGAGUGUGAUCAACAUGAUGCUGGAUGGUGCAGCCCUGAGGUGCUAACCAAUCUACCUGUUUUUCUUCUUACUGCUCUUCUGGAUCUUCUUACUUCUACUGGAUCUUAUUGUUCUUACUACCAGCUGUUGAACAAGAAUACUCACAGGCUUAUUGACUCAGCAGUGAACAGAAGCCUGAAGAAACCUAUGCCAACAAGCAACAGUUUCAAAUUGCAGUCCUGAUGUAACAAUCCUUUCUGUAUUAUAUGUAGAACAUACAAAGGUCCUCGUUGUGAUGCAAAGUCCCUAACAACUAGAAUUUAGAGAAGAUUUUAUCAGAGAAAAUAUUCAAGGUAACUUACAGAAACUUGUCUAGUUUAAAAUGUUGUACAAUAUAUAGGAGUUAUAAUCAGUUUAAUCUUUGUAGCCCUUUGCUUGUAAAGUCAAAGCAUUUAGGAUCUUUUACAUCAACCAUUUCUAUUUCAGGAUCUGGGACAUUUGAAACAGGUCUUGGCAUAAAGAAGCAGAAGCUAUUCUAGGUUAUUUUUUUUCUGCACAUUUACCUUGUAGUUUUAAAGUCUGAUGUCUUGGGACCUCAUAAAGCUCAGAGUAAGAGCACUGUGAGAGAGAUCAUCUUCUCUGACAGCACAGCGUUCUGGUUUCCAGUCCUGAGAAGAUGAGGCUUGUGAUAUGUCUGAUGCUCUUCUUUUCUCUCUUCUUUGGGCCAGCAGGUAGGAGCUGUCUGUGUUCAGCGUUUGGAGUGAAGGAUUGCUUGUCUGUCUGCUGCUUCUAAAAUAGCUGUGGAAAGCUACUCUCUAGAGCUUUGGAAUCUUGUACCUAUUGCUAAAGAAGGUGGAAUAGUGGGAGGACGACUAUACUGUGGGCAAUAAACUGUAAUGAGAGUAACUUAUUUCAUGGCUUCUGACAGUGCACUUUUAUGAAUGUUUAUAGAGUCAGUGUGUGCAUCUAGAAUUGUCUUUGGGUCUUCAUAUUAUUAGAUUUCUGUAAUACCCACAACCAGCAGUGAGCAGGCUAUCUAAUCUGUUGAAAUAAUAUGUAUUUUUUUUUUCUUUAAAUACUGGAAACAGACCUUUCCUUCACAAGAAGAGGAGAUGAUUUAACUGAAACAUAGCUGGUUUCCUGCAUUGUAGUCAACAUUGAGUGCAUAAUAAUUAGCUUAAGGGUGUAUUUUCAGUUUUCCAGUAGACCUUUAUAUUACUGUGGGAAGAAAAUGAACAUUUUCCAUUUGUAAUUUCAGUCUAGUGGCAAAAUUCAAAUUAAACAUUUUAAGGUGUAGACUAUUUGCAGCUGCUUGACCUUUGGGCUGUAAUGACUUAAUUCCCCCUAGGCCGUUUGCCGAGGAGCCACGCCUACUUCUGCAGGGAGUGAGCAUUUGUCUGGGACACCUUCAGUUUGUGGCAGUUCAAAAUGCUGCUGCUUGCAAGUUAAGGUGCUGUGGCCCAUACACAUGUUCAUAGCUUGCCCCUAAGUGAGAUAAAAUGUCUUCAGUUAAACUACUUUCAUUUAAGUUUGAAUGCUUCAUUUAGCCACUGGGGCAACUUGAGAGAAACUAUGCAGCUUCUGGUGGGUCAGAAGAGUCACUGUGACUCAGGUGUAUCUAAUCACAUCCCAAACCAUGUAGAUUCUACCUGAUCAUGAAACCUGCAAACCUGCAAGAUUCCACUCUGCUCAAAGUGCAGAAGGCAUGCUCAGAUUCCUUUGGGCACAGAACUGAUGGCUCCAACAGUUUUGGAGGUGUUGAUGUUCUGACUUGUAUGUGCCGUAGCGUAUUGAUGUACACAAGGUAAAGGUAAGUACUAUCAAUGCAGAAUUUUUCUCUCUUGGUUGUAGCAAAGUAUUUUGUUUGCUUUGUACAACUUCAAAAUAUUUCAGAAAUGUCUUUUCCCUCAUUAAUACCACCUCCAAAAUUUUGUGUUUGUACCAACCAGGUACUGAAUGCUAGUGCAGUGACUUGGCAGCACUUUCCCAAGAUGUCAGUGGAUGCACUGGUGUGUCAUAUCUGAAGAAUUAAUCCCCCCUGUCAGGCUGUGGAGAAUCAGUCACUCUUAGCCUCCCAUGAAUGAGGCAUAGGUUUCAGGUUUAUUGUUGUGUGGCUGAAGUUUGGCAAAUCAUUGCACAUCUGCUGAGCUGCUGUAACCAUGCUCACAAAAGCACACCGCAGACACAAAGCAAUGUCACCUUACAUCUCUUCUCCUCUGGGCUGAGCUAAAAUCUCCUCUUAUUUUCUCCGAUAGGAGGACAUCAUCACAUGAUGUGAGGUCACUGGAAUCAAUUCAGACUUAAAAAUCAGGAGUAUUAGCCCUUAAUUCCAGGUGAUUAAGAAUGAUUCUAGCAGUGUUUUGCAAGAACAGGGAAGUUUGUAUUGGAGCCCUGUGGGUGGAGCUACUUUCUUGUUAAAUUUCUUUUGCAUUAUAAAACUGAGUGUAAUUUUCCAGUUUCAUGCCUGUUCCAAGCUUCUGGGUAAAGUUCCUGUGUAAUGAUAAACAGUUGCUUUUUUGCAUUUGAGUGAUAGAGUUAUGCUUUGUGAUAGGCAAUUUCUUAAACAUUUUGGGUUCUUAACAAAUGAAAGAUGCUCUCCACUGAAGGUAAAAGCACGUAGAUCAGUUCAGAACUGAACCCUGAAAUCCAGAAGCCCAAGUGGUGAGCCACUGUAGUGUUUGUGGUGGGAAAGAGGAAUUCCACCAUGUGCAGCAGUUAUGUUUCAGAAAAGUGAGGGGCAGGGGAGAAUAUGUGGUAGAGCAGCUCUUUGGGAAACAGCCAGUGAUUUUUCCCAGAUCCAAUCUGAGGCCCACAAGUAAAAGGAAAGAUUUCUAUUGGUCACAUUUCCCUACAUACAACUGUGCAUGGCCUAAGUCAGCCAGGAGUAUAAG